UGCACGCUGUCCUGCUCCUCUGUCUGCUGUUCAUCAUGGGCAGCCUUCUUGGCAUUCCUGGCUGAUCGGCGCACGACAUUCCAGCGGUGAAAGGUUGCGGCGCGCGGCGGUGGGAAGCGAGCGUUCACGUGGCGCUGACGUCAUGAGGUCGGGGGUCACGAGCGGCGGCCGAUCCCUCGUUGGUGACAGGACGCCCCGACUGACGUAACGGAGUCAACGCGGAUGUGUGAUUUUGAUGAUUUAAGGCAGAAGGAGACAUGAAACACAAGAAGAACAUUCCCAUCGUCAGCAGUGAUUGUGACAGUGGGGAUGGUCCUUCAGGGUUAUAAAUGAGGGGCAAAAGCUGAGAAAAAUGUGAGUACUGGAAGAGGUGUCACCCAUACACCCUUUAAUACAUGGUUUUUACUUUGUGAAUAUACACUUGGCAACGUACUUUGUUGACCAUAUUCUCACAAAGUAGGAAAGCUACCAGUGGUAUAUAUCAGGUAUAUAGCAUAUGAUUCAUGGAUAAAACAGUGCAUGA